UACGAAGGGGGCUAGCGUUGCUCGGAAUCACUGGGCGUAAAGCGCACGUAGGCGGAUUGUUAAGUCAGGGGUGAAAUCCUGGAGCUCAACUCCAGAACUGCCUUUGAUACUGGCGAUCUUGAGUCCGGGAGAGGUGAGUGGAACUGCGAGUGUAGAGGUGAAAUUCGUAGAUAUUCGCAAGAACACCAGUGGCGAAGGCGGCUCACUGGCCCGGUACUGACGUUGAGGUGCGAAAGCGUGGGGAGCAAACA
rnacentral:rRNA from 1 species